rnacentral:rRNA from 1 species
AUUGAACGCUGGCGGCAGGCCUAACACAUGCAAGUCGAACGAGUGGCGGACGGGUGAGUAAUGUCUGGGAAACUGCCUGAUGGAGGGGGCUAACUACUGGAAACGGUAGCUAAUACCGCAUACCAUCGGAUGUGCCCAGAUGGGAUUAGCUAGUGGGUGGGGUAAAGGCUCACCUAGGCGACGAUCCCGAGCUGGUCUGAGAGGAUGACCAGCCACACUGGAACUGAGACACGGUCCAGACUCCUACGUGAGGCAGCAGUGGGGAAUAGUGCACAAUGGGCGCAAGCCGGAUGCAGCCAUGCCGCGUGUAUGAAGAAGGCCUUCGGGUUGUAAAGUACUUUCAGCGGGGAGGCGUUACCCGCAGAAGAAGCACCGGCUAACUCCGUGCCAGCCGCCGCGGUAAUAC